AGGCCCCACCCUGUGGAGUGUGUCACUUGGCACGCCUAUGGUGGGGUAGGCUAACUGAGAGGGGAAGACACGCACUGGCAAUGGAGAAGUGGCUCAGCCCUGCCUCGCUCACCGCUGGCCUUCACUGUACCAAUGCUGAGCUGUGGGAAAGCCUAGAGAAGUCAAUGUUGGUGUCACCAAUUUUAAUACUGAAGCACGGAGGACCAGAGACACUAAUGGCUUUCCUGAAGCUUUAACAGCUGUGCCAAGCAGGAACUUGAUGUUUAAAAGAAACCUGCAGAAGGCUGGAAAAAUGGCUCAUAGGUUAAAGGCACUUCCUUCUCUUCCAGAGGACAAGAGGUGAGACCCUAACCCCAAUCCUGUGGGGAUCACAAUGACCUGUGACUCUAGCUCUAGGGGAUCUGAUGCCCUCUUCUAGCCUCUGUGGGUAUGCUGCUCCCCCUCCCUCUUUCUUUCUCCCUCUCUCUCCCUCUCUCUGACUCUGUGUGUCUCUCCACCUCUCCCUCUCCCUCUCCCUCUCCCUCUCUCUUUCUCUCUCUCUCUCUCCCUAUCUCCCUCUCUUUUCCCAUCUCUCUCCCUCUCUUUCUUUCCCUCUCAUGUAUUUUCAGCUAGAUCUUCUGCAGGUACUAUCAAAGACUUGUCCGGAGAUGUAGUCUUCUUGGUGAUUCUGAGUCCAGCCAGAUGGACACUGAAAAUUAGCCACCACACAUAUUUGAUGGUGUGUGAACUGAAUGUUAACAAACCUGCGAAACAGACAUAGUGGGAGCCGGACAGGUGGCUCAGUGGGAGAAGCACAUGCCAUGCCAGCACGAGGACUAGAGUUUGAAUCCACAUAAAUAUGACGGCUGUUGGAGACCCACUUUGCAGCCCCAGUGAUGGAAAAGGGAGACAGGAGAUCCCUUUGAGCAAGCAGGAUACCUAGACCAGCCAAAUGGGACAGCUGUAGGUUCAGCAAGGUGGAAGAGAUCGAGAGACCAAGGAAGACACUGGGCAUCAACUUUGCCCCAACCGCACAUGUGUAAUCCACCCAAGAUGGGCUGAGCUCCUCCCACUCAUCACUGAUUAAGAAAUAAAAUGCUUACAGCUGGA